rnacentral:misc_RNA from 1 species
UCCAGCAGCCCUUGCGCGUGC